AGAGUUUGAUCCUGGCUCAGGACGAACGCUGGCGGCGUGCCUAACACAUGCAAGUCGAACGGAGAAUUUCGAAGAGUUUACUUAGAGAAAUUUUUAGUGGCGGACGGGUGAGUAACGCGUGGGUAACCUACCCAUAAACCCGGGACAACCCUUGGAAACGAGGGCUAAUACCGGAUAAUCUUUUAGCUUGGCAUCAAGCAUUAAGAAAAGGUGGCCUCUGAAAAUGCUACCGAUUAUGGAUGGACCCGCGUCUGAUUAGCUAGUUGGUGGGGUAAAAGCCUACCAAGGCGAAGACGGGUAGCCGGCCUGAGAGGGCGAACGGCCACACUGGGACUGAGACACGGCCCAGACUCCUACGGGAGGCAGCAGUGAGGAAUUUUCCGCAAUGGGCGCAAGCCUGACGGAGCGACGCCGCGUGAGGGAUGAAGGCUUUCGGGUUGUAAACCUCUUUUGCGAGGGAAAAAGGUUCACGUGCUCAUACCACGUGAGUUUGAUGGUACUUCGCGAAUAAGCCCCGGCUAACUACGUGCCAGCAGCCGCGGUAAUACGUAGGGGGCGAGCGUUGUCCGGAGUUACUGGGCGUAAAGGGCGUGUAGGCGGUUGAAUAAGUCCGGUGUGAAAUUCCGAAGCUCAACUUCGGAACUGCGCUGGAUACUGUUUGACUGGAGUUUGGCAGGGGUAACUGGAAUUCCUGGUGUAACGGUGAAAUGUGUAGAUAUCAGGAGGAACACCUGUGGCGAAGGCGGGUUACUGGGCCACAACUGACGCUGAGACGCGAAAGCGUGGGUAGCAAACAGGAUUAGAUACCCUGGUAGUCC
rnacentral:rRNA from 1 species